rnacentral:sRNA from 1 species
GCCAGGCGUGGUGGUGCAUGCCUAUAAUCCCAGCAGUUCUGGAGGCUGAGACAGGAGGAUUGUGAGUUCAAAGCCAGCCUCAGCAAUUUAGUGAGGUCCUAAGCAACUCAGCAAGACCCUGUCUCUA